AAAUUAUGCUUCUUUUUUCCAUGUUAGGGUAUUGGGAUGCUAAGGGGUUCUUAUAACUUAGAUGGGUAUGCUUCAAGAAGUUCCACCAGUACCAGGUUGUUGGGAGAAAGCUCCCUAUGGCAUCUAAUGAGCACCCCAAGAUUUACCAAAUGAAGCUCUGGGCCACAAAUGAGGUAUUUCAUGAGGAAGCUGAAGAAGGUCAAGAAGAGCAAUGGCCAAGUGCUUGCCAUUAAUGAGAUGUGAAGGAGGUUGCGUCAUAGGCAUCCUCUGGAAUAUUAUGAAAACCUAUCAGCAUAUCCACACCUUCUUUUACACCCGAUUUCUCUGCACAUUCUUCUCAAAAACUUAAAUGCUUUAUGCUCCAUAGCC